CCUACGGGGUGCAGCAGUGGGGAAUAUUGGACAAUGGGCGAAAGCCUGAUCCAGCCAUGCCGCGUGUGUGAAGAAGGCCUUCGGGUUGUAAAGCACUUUCAGUGGGGAAGAAAGCCUUGGGGCUAAUACCCUCGAGGAAGGACAUCACCCACAGAAGAAGCACCGGCUAACUCCGUGCCAGCAGCCGCGGUAAUACGGAGGGUGCGAGCGUUAAUCGGAAUUACUGGGCGUAAAGCGCGCGUAGGCGGUCUGAUAAGCCGGUUGUGAAAGCCCCGGGCUCAACCUGGGAACGGCAUCCGGAACUGUCAGGCUAGAGUGCAGGAGAGGAAGGUAGAAUUCCCGGUGUAGCGGUGAAAUGCGUAGAGGUCGGGAGGAAUACCAGUGGCGAAGGCGGCCUUCUGGACUGACACUGACGCUGAGGUGCGAAAGCGUGGGUAGCAAACAGGAUUAGAUACCCUUGUAGUC
rnacentral:rRNA from 1 species